AACCAAAGUGUUGAGCAUAGGUCAAGGCUGCUUUCCUGUUUUGAUAAUUAAACUUUAGGACAGGAAGAUGAUGUCUAGAAGAGAUGACUGGGUAGAAGGUAUAUCUCUAUUCAUUUCCUUCCCAGCCUGCAAGA
ensembl:snoRNA